rnacentral:lncRNA from 1 species
CUCCCUCCCUCCCUCCUUCAAUCUCUCGCUCUCUCGCUCUCUUGUGCCCCCCUCUCUCUGAUUAUCUCACAGAGUGGGCUAUCAUCAUCCAUAGCUUCUCUGUUUUUGAUGUUUCUGAAAAUAUACUUACAGGUCACUCUCAUCUGAGGAAUCUACUUGCCAUCAAGGACAGAAAUGGAAUGUCAAGUGGUCAAACAAAGAGAAGGUUUUCCCAUUCCAGCUCUAUCAGAUAAUGCUGAGGGGAACUGCCCUUGAUUCGGAUGUGUCCUGAUGAUUACUAUCUGAGAAAAGCCUACUCUGGAGCAAUCAACUACUAUGUAGGAUGCUACAAGAUUCCUCCCUAUUCGGUGUUCAUGAUGUAUGUAAACAUCCCCUGCUUCUCCAAACAAGACUGGGUUAAACAGACCAUUCCACCUUGAGCACACUCACAUAUGGACACAAAGAUCCCUGACCAAUGCCCUCUCUGCGAAUGUGGCUUCUUGUUUGAAAUGUAAUGAGGAAGGGGUUAAGGGAAAUUUGCACAUGCUAUAAUGUGAAGAUAACCAUCUACAUUUCAAUGAGUUUUAAAGCCCUCCAUGCUUCAGUAACUUUUGUUAGAAACGUCCCGGAUUGGUUGUGACAACCUGUGGGGUUAGUUUACACCACAGUCUAAAGAUUGGGAAACUCAGUUUAGAAAUUUGAUCACUCUCCAUGCCAUCUCACGUCAUAAUUCAAUCG